rnacentral:rRNA from 1 species
CUAGUAACUGCGAGUGAAGCGGGAAAAGCUCAAAUUUAAAAUCUGGCGGUUUUGUCGCCCGAGUUGUAAUCUGGAGAAGCGUUUUCCGUGCCGGACCGUGUACAAGUCUCUUGGAACAGAGCGUCAUAGAGGGUGAGAAUCCCGUCCAUGACACGGACUCCCGGUGCUUUGUGAUACGCUCUCGAAGAGUCGAGUUGUUUGGGAAUGCAGCUCAAAAUGGGUGGUAAGCUCCAUCUAAAGCUAAAUAUUGGCGAGAGACCGAUAGCGAACAAGUACCGUGAGGGAAAGAUGAAAAGCACUUUGGAAAGAGAGUUAAACAGUACGUGAAAUUGUUGAAAGGGAAACGCUUGAAGUCAGUCGCGUCUUACUUGACUCAGCCUUGCUUCGGCUUGGUGUAUUUCAAGUAGGAUGGGUCAACAUCGAUUUUGACCGGUGGACAAGGGGUNAAGGAAUGUGGCACUCUUCGGAGUGUGUUAUAGCCUUUUCUCAUAUACAUCGGUUGGGAUUGAGGCCCGCAGCGCGCCCUUGUGG